rnacentral:lncRNA from 1 species
UGAAAAAAGAGAUAUAUUUGCAUCCCGCUAGAUUGAGUACCUCACUCUGGGGCAAUCUAGGCAAAAGUUAGGGAUUUGGCAAGUAACUGCAUCCUGACAAGACUUUCUGGUUCAUCAGUCGUCAUUUCGUCAGCAGAUUCUCGAUUCGUCGUCAACUGAAGCUUCGGAUACAUCGAGAUUCAAAUUGGUAGAGAAAGGAUCAUUAUGUUCAAUGUAGCCCUCUUCCAAUAUAUAUCACUGAUUUCAAAUUUGUACAGAUCUAUGGAGUCUUGCCAUUUGCAGACUACCAUUCUAUCAAAU